CCGCGCACUCUAAUAGAAAACAUGUAAUCGUAUUUAUUUUCCUUCCAUUCUGUCAGAGGCGCUGAUGUCGGCAUUGUGAUUGGUGGAACAUGAGUUUUGACAAAUCCUGCGCUAUCUGUGAAUCUGUGUUUAGUGUUCGUGUUCGUUCGUUCGUUGUCGUUCAGUCAUUUUAUAUGGUCGGUUUAUGUGAUGUGUUUGUGUCACCAUAAAAAGCUGAUAUUCAGUCGUGUUUUUUGAUAUUUUGUAAUCGAGUACCUUUUUAAAGGUCUAAUGGCUCCCAUCAGGUGUUGUGUGCAGACGGAGGAAAAAUUCAACGAGUAAACAUAUUUAAUCCAAAUUAAAUACUCAUAUUUCUAUAUAAAAUGUCACAUUAUUGUAUAAAUAAAUAAUUAAGAAUCAAAA